ACGGUCGUCCGCAGUAGGGAAUAUUUCACAAUGGGGGCAACCCUGAUGCAGCAACGCCACGUGUGGGGAGACGCAUUUCGGUGUGUAAACCACUGUCGUGAGGGAAUAAGGACGCUUCUCGGAGCGUUUGAAUGUACCUCGAAAGGAAGCACCGGCAAACUUCGUGCCAGCAGCCGCGGUAAUACGAGGGGUGCAAGCGUUGUUCGGAAUCACUGGGCGUAAAGGGAGCGCAGGCGGAAGUGCAAGCGGUAGGUACAAUACCGGGGCCCAACCCCGGACCUGCAGACCGGACUGCAUUUCUUGGAUAGUUCAGGGGCAAGCGGAAUUCCUGGUGUAGCGGUGGAAUGCGUAGAGAUCAGGAAGAACACCGAUGGCGAAGGCAGCUUGCUGGGGACUUAUCGACGCUCAUGCUCGAAAGUGCGGGUAGCAAACAGGAUGAGAUACCCUGGUA
rnacentral:rRNA from 1 species